AGCCGCAGCUCCGGCCAAUCCAAGUGACCGUUGUGUCUGUGGCAGAGUUACAACAUCAGCCAUAAUGUGAAGUGGGACCAUGGCUGGCCUGCUAUUCCCAGCCUGGGCAGCCCCCUGUCAGCCUCCUGACAGUUCCAGCUGUUUCAGACUGUUCAGUGCGUGUCCGUGUGUGAGAAGUGGAAAAGGCUCAGUGGGACUCUUUGACGACCUCAUUCAUCCCCCCCCCCCCCCCGCUACUGCCUUCGGCCUGGACACAGUCGACAUGCCCAACAAUGAGACUGGAGGCCUGCUCCUUCACUACAGUGUUUUUGAUCGGCCCGGCCAGCUUCCGCUGGCAAGACAACCAACCAAAGCAGCCACUUUUUCCUCCCCCGUCACCCCCGUCCUGUCCCCCUCCUUUUCCCACUAUGGGUUCAGCGACUGA
rnacentral:lncRNA from 1 species